AGGAGAUAGUCGUACAAGGUUUCCGUAGGUGACCUGCGGAAGGAUCAUUGUCGAACCCUGCAAGGCAGAACGACCCGUGAACAUGUAACCACAACGGGGUGACCGUGAUAAGGGCCUCGGUCCUUAUCCCCUAACCCUUCCCGACGUGAGUUCGUGGUGUCUUUUUUGGGGCAUCAUGGAUUCCGUUGGACCAUAACAAAACCCCGGCACGGUAUGUGCCAAGGAAAACAAAAAUGAGAAGGACACUACCUGUUUCGCCCCGUUUGCGGUGUGCGUACUGGUCGUGGCCUCCUUGGAAUCACAAACGACUCUCGGCAACGGAUAUCUCGGCUCACGCAUCGAUGAAGAACGUAGCAAAAUGCGAUACUUGGUGUGAAUUGCAGAAUCCCGUGAACCAUCGAGUUUUUGAACGCAAGUUGCGCCCGAAGCCAUCCGGCUGAGGGCACGCCUGCCUGGGCGUCACGCAUCGCGUCGCUCCCCACCAUACCUCCCCAACGGGUUGGCAUGGUGUUGGGGGCGGAUAAUGGCCUCCCGUGCUUGUGUUUCGGUUGGCCUAAAUAAGAGUUCCCUUCGGCGGACACACGACUAGUGGUGGUUGAAUAGACCCUCGUCUUUUGUUGCGUGUCGUGAGCUGUAAGGGUAGCCCUCAUCAAAGACCCCAUUGUAUCGUCUUCGGAUGAUGCUUCGACCGCGACCCCAGGUCAGGCGGGACUACCCGCUGAGUUUAAGCAUAUCAAAACGGGGGGGGAAAAAAA
rnacentral:rRNA from 1 species